CAGGGAUUCCGCUUUUGGUGACG
rnacentral:miRNA from 1 species